AGCAAGCAACAGCCAGGUCUAUUUUAAGCCACAUGGCUAAGAGGAACACUGGCUGAAGCCGUGUGUUAGAGAUGUGAUUCCCUAAGUCAAAAAGAUAGGAUCAGAGAUGACCAUGACAGAAAAGGGAACACUCUGAAGUCACUCUCCCAACAAGAAACAAAGAGAAUAAAAACCAACCUGAUAAACAGGAAAAGCAAAAAGGCUGGAAUACCACUCUCUGACUUUGGGAUUGGUGAAAUCCAGAGUUCCACAGGCAGCUGAGGCCACUCAUGAGAGGCUGAAAGUCAAAACUAUGGGCUAAAAGGACCAAGAGCAACCACAAGGGAGAGCCUGCCUGCCAGACACUUCAUCUCUGCAUCCCGCCCUCUCCUGAGACACUUUCCUCACUCCCUACUUCUUAUCUCUGUUUGCUUAGAGAGUUAACAUGCCAUGGAGACUAGUC